ACGGGAGGCAGCAGUGGGGAAUAUUGCACAAUGGGGGGAACCCUGAUGCAGCAACGCCGCGUGAAGGAAGAAGUAUUUCGGUAUGUAAACUUCUAUCGACAGGGAAGAAAGAAAUGACGGUACCUGAAUAAGAAGCACCGGCUAAAUACGUGCCAGCAGCCGCGGUAAUACGUAUGGUGCAAGCGUUAUCCGGAUUUACUGGGUGUAAAGGGUGAGUAGGCGGUUAUGCAAGUCAUAUGUGAAAUUCUGGAGCUCAACUCCAGCGCUGCAUAAGAAACUGUGUAACUAGAGUACAGGAGAGGUAAGCGGAAUUCCUAGUGUAGCGGUGAAAUGCGUAGAUAUUAGGAAGAACACCGGUGGCGAAGGCGGCUUACUGGACUGAAACUGACGCUGAGUCACGAAAGCGUGGGGAGCGAACAGGAUUAGAUACCCUGGUA
rnacentral:rRNA from 1 species